rnacentral:rRNA from 1 species
UAAGGAAUAUUGGUCAAUGGACGCAAGUCUGAACCAGCCAUGCCGCGUGGAGGAUGAAGGUCCUCUGGAUUGUAAACUUCUUUUAUCUGGGACGAAACACUUCUUUUCUAAGAGGCCUGACGGUACCAGAUGAAUAAGCACCGGCUAACUCCGUGCCAGCAGCCGCGGUAAUACGGAGGGUGCAAGCGUUAUCCGGAUUCACUGGGUUUAAAGGGUGCGUAGGUGGGUAUGUAAGUCAGUGGUGAAAUCCCCGAGCUUAACUUGGGAACUGCCAUUGAUACUAUAUAUCUUGAAUACCGUAGAGGUAAGCGGAAUAUGUCAUGUAGCGGUGAAAUGCUUAGAUAUGACAUGGAACACCAAUUGCGAAGGCAGCUUGCUAAGCUGUAACUGACGCUGAGGCACGAAAGCGUGGGGAGCAAACA